rnacentral:rRNA from 1 species
CGUAGGCAGCGAGCGUUGUUCGGAGUUACUGGGCGUAAAGGGUGCGUAGGCGGUUGUUUAAGUUUGGUGUGAAAUCUCCCGGCUCAACUGGGAGGGUGCGCCGAAUACUGAAUGACUAGAGUGCGGGAGAGGAGAGUGGAAUUCCUGGUGUAGCGGUGAAAUGCGUAGAUAUCAGGAGGAACACCGGUGGUGUAGACGGCUCUCUGGACCGUAACUGACGCUGAGGCACGAAAGCGUGGGUAGCAAACAGGAUUAGAUACCCUGGUAGUCCACGCCCUAAACGAUGCAUAUUUGGUGUGGGCAGUUCAGUCUGUCCGUGCCGGAGCUAACGCGUUAAAUAUGCCGCCUGGGGAGUACAGUCGCAAGGCUG